GACGAACGCUGGCGGCGUGCUUAACACAUGCAAGUCGAACGGUAAGGCCCUUCGGGGUACACGAGUGGCGAACGGGUGAGUAACACGUGGGUGAUCUGCCCUGCACUUCGGGAUAAGCCUGGGAAACUGGGUCUAAUACCGGAUAGGACCACUGCCUGCAUGGGUGGUGGUGGAAAGCUUUUGCGGGGUGGGAUGGGCCCGCGGCCUAUCAGCUUGUUGGUGGGGUGAUGGCCUACCAAGGCGACGACGGGUAGCCGGCCUGAGAGGGUGAACGGCUAAACGGGGACUGAGAUACGGCACAGACUGCUACGGGAGGCAGCAGUGGGGAAUAUUGCACAAUGGGCGCAAGCCUGAUGCGUCGACGCCGCGUGAGGGAUGGCGGCCUUCGGGUUGUAAACCUCUUUCAGCACCGACGAAGCGCAAGUGACGGUAGGUGCAGAAGAAGGGCCGGCCCUCUACGUGCCAGCCGCCGCCGUAA
rnacentral:rRNA from 1 species